CCUACGGGAGGCUGCAGUGGGGGAUAUUGCACAAUGGGGGGAACCCUGAUGCAGCGACGCCGCGUGGGUGAAGAAGCGCCUCGGCGCGUAAAGCCCUGUCAGCAGGGAAGAAAAUGACGGUACCUGAAGAAGAAGCCCCGGCUAACUACGUGCCAGCAGCCGCGGGAAUACGUAGGGGGCAAGCGUUAUCCGGAUUUACUGGGUGUAAAGGGGGCGCAGACGGCGAUGCAAGCCAGGAGUGAAAGCCCGGGGCCCAACCCCGGGACUGCUCUUGGAACUGGGUGGCUGGAGUGCAGGAGGGGCAGGCGGAAUUCCUGGUGUAGCGGUGAAAUGCGUAGAUAUCAGGAGGAACACCGGUGACGAAGGCGGCCUGCUGGACUGCAACUGACGUUGAGGCCCGAAAGCGUGGGGAGCAAACAGGAUUAGAUACCCGGGUAGUC
rnacentral:rRNA from 1 species